rnacentral:rRNA from 1 species
UCAGACUGAACGCUGGCGGCAGGCCUAACACAUGCAAGUCGAGCGGUAACAUUUCCAGCUUGCUGGAAGAUGACGAGCGGCGGACGGGUGAGUAAUACUUGGGGAUCUGCCUGAUGGCGGGGGACAACCACUGGAAACGGUGGCUAAUACCGCAUAAUGCCUACGGGCCAAAGUGUGGGACCUUCGGGCCACAUGCCAUCAGAUGAACCCAAGCGAGAUUAGCUAGUUGGUGAGGUAACGGCUCACCAAGGCGACGAUCUCUAGCUGGUCUGAGAGGAUGAUCAGCCACACUGGGACUGAGACACGGCCCAGACUCCUACGGGAGGCAGCAGUGGGGAAUAUUGGACAAUGGGCGCAAGCCUGAUCCAGCCAUGCCGCGUGUGUGAAGAAGGCCUUCGGGUUGUAAAGCACUUUCAGUGGUGAGGAAGGCCUUGUAGUUAAUAGCUGCAAGGAUUGACGUUAGCCACAGAAGAAGCACCGGCUAACUCCGUGCCAGCAGCCGCGGUAAUACGGAGGGUGCGAGCGUUAAUCGGAAUUACUGGGCGUAAAGCGCACGUAGGCGGUUUGUUAAGCAAGAUGUGAAAGCCCAGGGCUCAACCUUGGAAUAGCAUUUUGAACUGGCAAGCUAGAGUUUUGAAGAGGGUGGUAGAAUUUCCAGUGUAGCG